GACAAAAUCCAAGGAGCACGUUUGAGCUACUGGAAUUCCUGAGUUCAUUGGGAAAAUGCUGACCUGACUUUCCUCUUCUGCCUUCUAGGAUGGGUUGGGCUGGGCUGGACCUCAGUCUGGGAGAUGCAUUAAAGUGGAGAGACUGACUUCUCUUAAAGAUUCUUCUUUGUUUCAGGGGACAGUUCUUAAGGACAGAGUAAUAGAGUCAGACAGGAUUGGGGGAUAUCGUGAGAUGUUGAGAUAAAGAUGCUUCAGUUAAAGGCCUGGGCUCUGAUAUGCAAGUGGCCCUGGUACAGGAAGACCUAAGGGACACAGGGAACUUGAUAACUGCUUGUCAAGACCCAGUUCAAAGCAGAUAUGCUUAGAGAGCUUCCUGACAUGAGGGCAGAACUUUGAUCUCUCAGGAGGUUGGCCUCUGUGAUACCAAGUCCGUCCAAGUCCUCCCAGGUGCAUUUGAAGAUUGACAGGAUAGAAACCAGUUUCCUGGAAAAAGGAGGGCCUGCGGUUCCCAAGGUAGCCCCAGUGGGGCAUGAUUCCCACAAAAGCAAGUAAGUGAAUAUCAUAGACUGCCAGCAGGUCAAGAGUGCAAUGUUUAAAGGCUGAUCAGCAGAAGAUCACCUGGAAGGUGACCCUGAGGCAGAGACUGGAAGGAGGAGACCGAGCUCACUGAGGCACAGAGGCUCUUCCAAGCAGGAGAACAGCAUGUGCAAAGGUCCAGGGAGGAGGCCUGAGAGCUAACAGAGAAGAGGUGAGCAGGAGCAAGGUUGGGAGCCCUUCCCUUGAGUACUGACCAGCAACCUCCCCAUCCAGGACUCAAGGAGUCUCAGAACCUCAAGCCUUAUAGAUAAUCUGGGUGCACGGGAUACACACUGGGCCUUGGGCACAGCAUGAAGCAUCAGGGAUAACUGAAUGCGGUGGAGAGAGGGGAUGUGCGCAGGCAGCAAAGGUAGCCCACCAUAGCCUAGCUUCUCGCAACCCUCUCUGGAAAGCUGGAUUGGGACAAUGAGACUGAGACCUCAGGACAUGUGAACAUGAGCCAUACGGGAGGUCUGGAGCAGCCCCUAUGUGACCUACAUCCUUAACCUGGCCACUGUUGAUAUGGUCAACCUCUCCUGUGUAACUGUGAUCCUGC